rnacentral:rRNA from 1 species
CGCAGCCGCGGUAAUUCCAGCUCCAAUAGCGUAUAUUAAAGUUGUUGCAGUUAAAAAGCUCGUAGUUGAAUUUCGAGACCGGCUUACUGGUCGUGCUAUUGUACGUACUGGUAUAAUCGGUUUCUCCUUUCUGACGAACUUUAAUGCCAUUAAUUUGGUGUUUUAGGGAAUCAGGACUGUUACUUUGAAAAAUUAGAGUGUUUAAAGCAGGCUCACGCUUGAAUACAUUAGCAUGGAAUAACGGAAUAGGACGUUUGAUUCUAUUUUGUUGGUUUCUAGGAUCGACGUAAUGAUUAAUAGGGAUAGUUGGGGGCAUUAGUAUUCAAUUGUCAGAGGUGAAAUUCUUGGAUUUAUUGAAGACUAACUACUGCGAAAGCAUUUGCCAAGGAUGUUUUCAUUAAUCAAGAACGAAAGUUAGGGGAUCGAAGACGAUCAGAUACCGUCGUAGUCUUAACCAUAAACUAUGCCGACUAGGGAUCGGAUGAUGUUAAUUUUUUAAUGACUCAUUCGGCGCCUUACG